rnacentral:misc_RNA from 1 species
UAAAUAGGUGUAUUUAUCAAAGGGAGGGCAGAUGCAUAGUGUCUGUAAAUUUGGUACGUA